rnacentral:lncRNA from 1 species
AAAUGGCUUCAUGAAACAGUUGCAGAGGUGUUGGGCAGAACUCGUGAAGCUGCAUACCGAGAAAUGAGGAGCAGACUUUUGAAGGAAGCUGUUGCUAAACAAGAGGCGAAGGAGGCUGAAGUGAAAGAUGUGGAGGACCAAAGACAAGCAGAAGCUCCUGGAGCAAAAGCUUUAGACCAGAUAGAUUCACUUGAUGAGAUGCCUUCUGAAGAUAUUAUGGAAGAUUCUGAAGAUGAUAUUGAGGUUAUGGAUGAGGAGGAAUAUGCUACAACUGGUGAAGAUAUUAUUGAGGAGGACACUACACCUGGUGAAGAUGAUAUUGAGGAGGACACUACACCUGGUGAAGAUGAUAUUGAGGAGGACACUACACCUGGUGAAGAUGUUAUUAAAGAGGACACUACACCUGGUGAAGAUGUUAUUAAAGAGGACACUACACCUGGUGAAGAUGUUAGUGUGAUUAUGGAUGAAGAAGAAGAUGCUAAAUUUAGUGAAGAUGCUAUCGAGAUUAUAGAUAAGAAGGAAGAUGCUAAACCUGGCGAAGAUGUUAUUAAGAUUAUGAAUAUGGAGGAAGACACUAAACUUGGUGAAGAUGAUUCUGUGGUCAUAACAGACAAAAUGAACUCAUUACUUGAUGUCAUAUCUAAAGAGGCCAUGUCCGAAACUAUUGAGGAAUUGUCUGAAGUCGUGGGUGAAGUAGGUGAAGUAAAAUUACUUGAAAUGACUGAUGUGAUUUUUGAUGAUGACACAACUGAAACUGUUGGUGUAUCUGAUGUUCUGGAUAUUCUAAAUGAAGAAGAACCAACAGAAUCAUCUGAAACCACUACAGAAACCACUGAUGGAGGCCACAGUGAAGUGAGCAAUGUAGAGGAGCUCACAUCUGAAGCUUUUAUCGAUGAUGAGGAACCAAUAAAAUCUAAUGAAACCAGUGCAGACACCACUGUUCAAGAUCAAAUCCAAAUUGUUUCUUUCCCAGAAGCCGUUCUUGAAGAAGAACCUCGUAAUGCAACUCUUAAUCUUGAUGAAACUGAGAUUAAAAGUGGUGUGUUGUUUGAGCAUCCUGUGAAAGACGACAAAGAAGCCAAUUAUGAAGACAGUAAAGAAUCAAAGGACCAAUCAAAGGCACAAGAUGGGCAGUUUGCAAUCAGGAAAGAAGAAAGCACUGAUAAAAAUAGCCAAGAUAAAUGGAUGAGAGCUUCAGAAGACACAGAAUUCAGUGUUGAUAAAGAGAACGUUGAGUUUCUGUUGGGACACUUAAAUAUUAGAACUGGCUAUGAUGAAAAUAAUAACAACAAUGAGUGUAAGAGGCGUACAAUCAAAAGUGACCAUCUACGACAAAGAGCAAUGGCCAAAGCUGAAGACAAGAAGCUUCUUGAUCAAGCAGAUGACCAAGAAGAACAUCUUCUUAAAGAGAACGCCAAAGGUAUAAAGUAUUUCUUUAAUCACUGUGGGUUGUUUGACAAAUAUUACGUGUUCAUUCCCAAUGUAUUUC